rnacentral:misc_RNA from 1 species
UACAGAGGGUGCGAGCGUUGUUCGGAAUUAUUGGGCGUAAAGCGCGAGUAGGCGGUCUUUUAAGUUGCGUGUGAAAGCUCCCGGCUCAACCGGGAAAGUGCGCGCAAGACUGGAAGGCUUGAGUCUCGGAGAGGGUCGUGGAAUUCCCGGUGUAGAGGUGAAAUUCGUAGAUAUCGGGAGGAACACCAGAGGCGAAGGCGACGACCUGGACGAAGACUGACGCUGAGAAGCGAAAGCGUGGGGAGCAAACAGG